CUCUGGGCCCCGUGCAACGUGCGGCCGCGAACCCCGCCAGGUCCGGAAGGAAGCAACGGUAGCGGUUGAGCAGGUGUGCCGCGGGUCUCCCAGGGCCU
rnacentral:SRP_RNA from 1 species